rnacentral:rRNA from 1 species
UACGUAGGGGGCAAGCGUUGUCCGGAUUUAUUGGGCGUAAAGAGCGUGUAGGCGGCCAGACAGGUCCGUUGUGAAAACUCGAGGCUCAACCUCGAGACGCCGAUGGAAACCGUCUGGCUAGAGUCCGGAAGAGGAGAGUGGAAUUCCCGGUGUAGCGGUGAAAUGCGCAGAUAUCGGGAAGAACACCGGUGGCGAAGGCGGUUCUCUGGGCCUUACCUGACGCUGAAGGAGCGAAAGCCGUGGGGAGCGAACAGG